AGAGAUCUUGAUGCAGACGUCCUUUUGGAUUUCUUUUUAAUAAUGUGUGACCCUUCACCUUUGAUCCCUUGACCUGCAUUACCUUGAUCGUUGCACCAAACGGUUGGACCGGAUGCCAGGAGGGGACCAGUGCGCUGGCAGUCGACUUCCUGUGGAAUUUCUCUGAGGGUGGAGGUUUGGCUUAUCUGCUUUUCAGCUCUUCUAGACGCUGGAAAUUCCAUUUUGCUUUUGUUUUCUCUGGAUUCCUUCCCACAAGACUGAAGUGAAUUCAGCAUGGAUUAUUGGGGAGAACCUUGGCUGGGAUAAGAAUAAUUGCUGUGCCUUACAGACAUACCGAUGAUUUCUUUUAAGUUGUUCACCUGCACUUUGUCUGUUUCCUCAACUGUAAAAUAUGGGUAACUACCUCCUUUGUAAAAAUGUUUUGGGGUGUACUGGUAAUUAUAUAAAUGAAUUGCUAAUUACAGUGAUUAUUACUUGGACCCAGUCUAGGUCUGGGCGAUGUUCCUGUUGUGAUGAACACAUGAAACAUGCUGCAACUCGCAUUUCUCUAUCCUUUUUAGUGGGACCUGGAAGGGGGAAGAUGCUACAGUGCCCAUAUGCAAAUUCCUAAUGAGAAGUGCUACUUAUCACCCAAGUCAAUCCAUUAACUUCCUGUCUUCCUUUAUCUGCAUUCAUUAGCAGGAGAGUAGGCUGACGAGAUGCGAAGAAAUUACUAAUUCAGUAGUUGGUUCCAUGUGUAAUUUGAUAAUACAGAUUUAUGCUCCUGGCAUCCACUUUUGCUCUUGGAGAUCUGUGGAAGAAAGCAGAUGGGGAUACCAGUUGGAUCGGGGCCAGCCUGUACGCCACCUUAUGGCCUCAAUUCCUUUGGAAGUUUUGACCUUGAUGCAAAGGAAGGUGCCUUUAAAGCUGUUGAUCUCACUUCCUUUUCCCUGUAAAAGACUGCAGCUGUUAGGUAAAAUUUGCAAGUUGUUGAUUAUCUAAUAUUUCAUUUGUCUUUCUCUUCUACAUUUAUUUAGGACAUAUUUUCUUUGUAGUUGGGGAUGUUUUUACUAAGCAAAGUAGAAGAGGGAUUGAUAUUCUUUAAGGUGAACAUGAAGUAUUCUCGUCCAGGCGAUACUGCUGCUACUGCCAUGGAUGAUGCUGUAGUUUCUGACAGUAAUAGUAAUGAAUAUCCUAACAUCAGUUCAAGAUGAGAGGCUCCUACUCUGUGUAAGCCUUCUUCUGGAACACAAAUUCUGUGGCACAGUAGCAAUAGGAAACGCGUUCUUGGUUUCUCUUGUCUUACUGCAGUUCCUGCAUGCUUUUUUCUGCCUGCCGUGUCCAUUGCACUCUGUGCUUCUGGCUUCUCUUGAUGGAAUUUCGGAUGGAAUUUCUUGAUGGAAUUCUUGAUGGAAUUUCAGACUUUUUUUUUUCAGACACUUUCCAUCAACUUUAAGCUUUCUUCAUCCUGGAACAGCUGUUGCAGGUCUUGGUAAUGUCUCCAUGCACACAGCGCUUGGUGGCAGGCUAGUGGUGAUGCGAUCAGCAGCUCCUGCUGUCUGCUUUCUUUGACUACUUGCUGAUGGUUUCCUCUGUGAGGGAGAGACGUGUCUGUUCACGCAGGGUUAUCCUGCACUGCAAGACUGCCUGUUCUCUCUGCUGAAAUAAGCUCGUGAAAAAGAGGUGGUGCGUGCUUCUGUGCAUUCAUUUGCCUUCUGUCUGACUGUGGCACUGUUUGGUAUAUUUCUUUUGGGGUUAUAUUAAUGUGAAAAAAACCAGUAAGUUUCUCUUAAGAAAAGUUGCUGAUCAGGCAAGUUUCUUCAAUCUCCCCCUUUUAAUUGUAUUUUUCUGGUGAGAAGCAUGUGAAUGGCACAAGUGGAAAAUUAGUUAAAAAGUCCAAAAUAUCACUAAGUUUCAUGAUUGUAGUAAGUGUUUAACUUUCAAGAGAAGGGUUUAGGUAUUGCCUACUGGCAUAUAACGUGAAAAGGCUUUGCAACAAAAAAGGCAGGCAAUUUUUAACUGCAGUUUCACACUUUAGUUUUACUUAUCUGCCUUGUAUGUAUGCAUAAACAUACCUCUACACCUAGGGCCUCAUAUCUGGCAACUUAUUUCUUACUUGGGGGUUAGGUUUAGCUCAGUUGGUUAGAGCAUGGUGCUAAUAAUGCCAAGGUCAUGGGUUUGAUCCCUGUAUGGGCCACUUGUUUGGGGUUGGGCUAGAUGAUCUCCAGAGGUCCCUUCCAACCUUACCAAUUCUAUGAUUCUGUGAUUCUGUGUUGAAAUCAGUCUGGAGUGUAUCGCAUCCUCAGAAUAUUUCUCAAUUGUUGACUAUGCAAAAUAUACUUGAUGUGUUUAGCUGAGAUAUUCUGUUUGAAGAUAACUAAGGGAAAUGAAUGACUUUACAGUUUUUUUUCCAGACUUUUAGAAGUUUUUAAAUGAUAAAAAUACACAAAAUACUCUUUAGUUUUUGCUGAAUGUAUUUACAUAUACAUUGCAGUGGCAUCAAGGAGACUUAUCCUUUCUAUAAGGGCCUAAAACAGCAAGUGUAUUGCAAAGCAGAAUUUAAAAGUAUUGUCGGAGAUGUUUUCAUGUACGAUGCCAGGUGCCUGUCCAUGGCAUACCUGACUCCUACAGUUCGUGUCACAUUUUAACUUCGCAUACCUAUAAAGCUGCAUAGGUGAUAUUCCACAGUCGGACAGCAUAGGCUGGUGUGGUAUAAGCAAGUUAAAGCUUUUGGAUCCCUCCCUCACCUCGCAGGCUCCUACUUAUCCUGUAACAGUAUCUGAAAUGGCAGUGAACAGGCAAGUUGUAGCAUGCCAUUUAGCUCAACAAGGUAAUCUUAGCCUAAGUAGCAUUUCACCAGUGUGGAGGGGUAAAUUUAGCUCAAAACCAACUCUUUCUCAGCAAUUCACAAAUACUGUUUCAUCCCUCUCUUACAUCUGUUUUUGUUGUGGUCCGAGGUAAGGUAUAGGUAAUUGUGAGGGACUGGCUGGGUGGUGGUUGGGGGAGAUAAGAUGAUGGAGGUGCAGCCUUAUCAUACCCUCAGACAAAAACCCAGGGAAGUUGGAGGAGAUGAUGUUAGCAAUAGUAAGUCUUCCAGUUGAGCUCUUGAUCAAAGAUGAUGGCGUGUGUGUUUUUUUAAUCAAGCUGCAGGUGAUGAUUCUAUCAGCUUAUUGUAAUUCCUUGACACAGAUUGGUAUUGCUGUCUCUGGGGGGUUAGUGAAACAGUGGUCCCUUUCUUCCAGUGAAUCCUUAGGCUUUUUUCCCAAUGAACAUUUUUGCAACUCUGCUGUUGAUUUCAUAAGUGAUAUCUUUUUUUUCCCCUGACGGAAGAUGUGUGUGUGCAUUUGUAGCAGGUAGCAGUAUGUGAUUCCAAGUAAUUAGAAACAGUUAUUACAAAGUAGCACAUUUAUGAAAAGACAAGAAUUUACUUUGUUACGUGAAGGUAAAAAAAUGAGGGAAUGUCAUCCCUCCUACAGAAAGGGUCCUUACUAUCUUACCUUGCUUUAAAGGGUCUUAAGUAUCAGACAGUUCUUUGUUAGGGAAUCUGUAUUUCUCCUCUGUAUGACUAUAUCGUUAAGAUUUGUUUAAAUUUUAAAUCUGAUAUAUUAAUAUUGGCUGAAGUUAUGUAAAUUUGGGGAAAAUAAUUUCUCUCAACAUAUUUGAUUCCUAUAGAAACAUCUAUUAAGAUUAGCUCAUUCAGUAUGUAACGCUUUGAAAGUGAAUAAUGCCAUAUAAAUGUUAUUCAUUGCACAAAUCAGCUGAUUUGUGUGCAUUCUAGAAGUCUUGAGUGUUGAAACACAGAUAAAUUAGUGCCUCGUCUAAGGAUAAUCAAUAAUUUAGGUUUGAGAUUUAUUCAACUCUAAUUCUAAAAUAUUCUUAAAAAGAAAGUGGAAAAGCAUGUAGUAUCUACUGGAUUUUUGUGUUUUAAUACCUCUUGUAAUGCUGUAAAACAAUAGUGUGUAAACAACAAAACAAAACUUGUUAAAAGCUUGUAUAUUUAAUAAUUAUAAACUCUCUAAAGCCUUCCUCCUCUUAAAAAUUGGAAUGAACCAUCCGAUUCUCAUUGGAAUGAGGAACUGUUUCAUAAAAUCACGGUAGCUUAUGAUAAUAAUGUUUUCAAACAUCUGAAUUAAAAAGUUAGAAGCAUUGUCAUGAAAACAGAAGUAAUAAAGGAUAAGAAGAGAUUCCAGAAUAAAGCUAUUUGUAUUGCUAAAUAGAGGUAUCUUUACUUUUGAGGGCAGAUUUUUUUAAUGUUAUGAUCGAAACUGUAUGUAUUAAUAUGAACUCUAGUUAAAUAGAAGUAAAAGUAAUGUUUUUAUGUCAGCAGUUACUAGAGUAAAGUUGGGGUUUGACUUUUUUUUUUUUUUUUAACUCUGAUUACUUAGCUUUGUAAUUAAGUAUCUAUUCUUUUAUAUACAUAGAUAUCAGUCCAAGUAUGGAUGGCUUCAAUCUUUUCCGACUCUUCCUUGAGCCUUAAAAACAACGAGCAACGACACUGACUGCUUACCAGACCCAUGCGAAAUGGUCAGGUUUCCGUUAGUCUCUUGCUUUAGUAGCCGGGAUGUGUUUCAUGUUGUGCUGUAUCGGCACCUCUUAGGAUGUAUUUGCUGCAGGAAAGUGCAGAAGGCCAAGUGCUUCUAGGCAGUGAGCAAAGGAAGUUUAUGCUGCUGUGUUUCUGCCGGUGGAGCUGCGGGUUGAGGCAGGAGGGUUUCCUUUGCCUGCCGUGUUUCCAGCUACCCCAGUGUAUGGACACUGAAUCCCCACAGGAGGGUGCUAUAAAGGCAUUUAAUGUGAAGAUUUUACAGCGAAGAUCUGUGUCUUUGAGGAAAUGAUCAUUAUAGGAAAGCAAAAGUUACAUUGUUCCAGUAAGCACAAUGCAUUAAUUGUCUCUGGGGAACAAUCUAGAGAGAAAGCCAAUGUUAGUACUUCUUUACAGUAUCAUUAAUACUCUAGUGGGUGCAGCAUAGAACCAGCGAACGUAGAUUGGUUCCUGCAUGAUGAUGUAGGGAGUCUGAAUGAAGACCUCGAGAAAGCUGGUGGUCUAGGCCUGCGUAGGGUCGACUUAAUGUAACUGGCAGGCUGCCCCACGGCUUUCACCACUGCUCCCACUUACCACGACUGUGGGAUCGCUUGUGAUGAGCUUCACUGAUGUAUAGAAGGUCUCAUAGUUUGUCACCAACAAACCCUGUAUCUGCUCAUCUGCUUUCCCAUAUGUUUAUAUAUUUAAUCCAUGUAAGCUGUAAAAGCCGUUCAUCCAUUCCUCUAAUCUCUUUUCUAAAAUACUUCUGUAAAUUAACCUUUCUAUUUAGAUUGAGCAGAAAGACUGAUUAAAAAUAGUGGAGAAAUCUCUCUCCAGUUCUUAGCUGUAAAAUUUUUAAGUAAAAAAUGAUUUAAACUAGGUUAUUCUUUUUGUAUAGUGUAUAUUAGUUGUAAAAUACUUUCCUUCCCCAAAGCCUGUUAAUUUGUUUCCCAUGUGCUUCUGCUAGAAUGCUGCAGAUAUUUUUGUUUGUUUUGUUCUGUUUUUUUUAAAAGUCUGGGGGACCUAUGGGCUGCUCUUCUUCACCCUUCCCUUCCAUUCCCUUUGCACACACCUUGCUUCCUUUUAAUACUUUUCACAUUUUUUAAGAAAUUUGUAAGCGUAACUAAAAUAGACUGAUCUUCAGGAAAGCAAAGUAAAUGGGAAGAUUCAAACUAAUUUUGUUUUAUAGAGGUUGGGUGUUCUGUGUUUUAUUUUUUUUUAAUGGCAGUGAGGUAAACUGAUAGAGCUUCAUUACUAUUCUAGGGUUUUUUUAAUCUACUAGUCAUUAAAUAAGAAUACAUCACUCUUAAACUUGGCAACAGAAAUCCUUCUGCAUUCUGUGCAAGUCCCUGAGAGAAUUCAUUAAUGGCCUUGUUAGUAUGAGUACACAUACUUUUUCUUUACAGGAGCUUGAGAUGUCAGAUUUUUAGAUGAAAGACUAUAUUCAGCAGCUAGGAUGCUUUGUUAUAGUGGGGUUUUUUGUCAGUCAUCUUAAAUUGCAUGAUCUGAAUCUUUUGGUGGGACAGAUGACCAGGAAGCUUAUGUAAUAAAUAACAUGAAAUGUGGUGCUCAAUAGCAGUGUUUGAGCUUUGCCUCCUUGAAUGCAGUUCUCAUGUUUAUGCAUGUUAAAUUGGCUACAGGCUAUUACAGAUAAACAAACCUGGAUUUUGUUUUUUGUACAAGUAGAGGCUUUUUGCCUCUCAGAUGAAUUUUGGCUCAGCAGUAGUCAGUUAUUUUUGGUACUUUGGUUACAAAGCACUACAUAUUUGGACAUUGGAAAAUAAGCAUCAUUUCUUCUGCAGAUAAACUUGUAUCAGUUGCAUCACUCCUGUGACCUUUAACCAGUAUUACUUAAAAUAAUUGCUAUUAAACGUAGUCAAUAUGGCUCUGCAUCUUCUAUAGAAUCUUUUACUUGGCACAGAAAAUCUGCUGCCAUCUUAAAUGAAAAAUAAACAAAGCUUGAUCAUGCAACAUUCUAAAUAGAAUAAUAACAUUAAAUGAAAAUAUUCUACCAGGAAAUCUGGGGCAAGAGCUGUUUUCUAAGGAAAGCCUAUUAGACUUGGCAGGAAAAAGGCUUUGGAAGGAGUUCUUGGGAGAUACUAUAGUUGACAGAUUUAUUCAAAUUUAUGUGUAUUUUUCCCUUUUUGAGUAAUUUAAAGAAAUCCCUCCCUCUCUAAAUCGAUUACCUCUUGACAUCAGAACUCCUUGGCAUUAAAUACUAGUUAAGCUGCUAUGGUGCUGAUUUGACUUUGCCUUUCUGUUAAAUGUAAAACAGUUUUUAAUCUUCUCAUUUAGAUGUUUUAAUAGAAAAUAAAUGUUUAACUUGCCUUGGAUGCAUCCAAAUCUGUAUUUAAUCCUUGGGAACACUUAUAAAGAAUUGAUUUUUUUUUAAUAUUAGGCAUCUAAAAGCUGUAUUAAGCAUUUUUAUAUAAGUAUGUUUUAACUAGGGAUAUUUUCUAGUUGGAAAUUGUGUAAGUAAAAUGCCUGUUAUUUUAGGCAGUGACUAAGUGUGGGUAGCUGUAUAAAAUGUGGCAAAAGGAAGCUGUUUUUCUGUGCAUCACGGUAAUAGGUGGAAAAGUUGUGAGCGGUGAACUUUUCCUGGCACAACGUACUCAGUGCUUUUGCUCGUUUCUCAUCUUCAUGCCGCGCGUCUUAGUAUCAAUUCGUAGGAUGAAUGCCACCUUUCACAUUCCCGCAUCCGUUCCAGCAGCACCGGGGCCUUUCUGGAAAGGGCUCUCAUCCAAGUAUUGAUAAGCUUAAUCCUCGUUAGCUUGUAGGAUCUUGAUGUGAGAUUGCAGCUCAAGGUGAUACGGCCAUAGAGGACAAAGCUUGUGUAGCAGUGAUUUUUUUUUUUUUUUUUUUUUUGAUUUUAUUUCAAAAUGUGUGUGUAUCCUGAGGGGAGGGAGAAAUUGGGUCGUAAAAAGCGAGCUGGGGGAAGCUGGGCUCCUGCUGGAGAAGGCUUCUGCCGCCCGUUUCACAGCCGUGCCUUGCAGCGGCUUUAGGCAGAGCAGCGGCCGAAAUUCCUUCCUGUUGGCACAGCAGCGCUGCGUGUGCGUGGUCUGACGUGCAGCGCUCCUUCUCACGGCAAGCGGGUCCGGCAGGUGCCCGGGCUCCAGUAAAUCUCGGUUCCUUUUAGAAGCAGUUUUCCCCUGGAGACCCUGUGGAUAAGAAGAUUGAUGGCGCACUCAGAAAUGUUUUUGAUUACUCUGCUGCUUAGUUGGCCCUGCAUUCAUUAUAUGCGUGUCAAGCCCUAAAAGAGUGAAGUGCAGAGCUGCUGGAGGAGUCUUGGGUCUUUGGGCUUAAUCCAGAAGGUUCUAAACGAUUUCGGCUUGAACACAACUAUUUGCUCUUCGCAGGCGUGUUUUUCCAGGUCGGACGACAGGUUUUCUGUGAUCUUUGCUGAGUGUUCCCAGGGCUCGUUGUCCAACAGAGACUUGUUUGUGAAGAAACCUGGAAUAAACAUGCAUAUUACUGCUUUCAUAUCAAUACAGAAAACUUAAAUUUUCAGGUAGGAGAAGCAAGAAGGUGAAGUAACUGUUCCUGAAGAGACAAAAACAGCACACCCCCCCCCCCCCCCGCAGUUUUGUCUUUCCAGGAUGGCAGACAGCAAAUUAUUCUUAUUUUGAAAUGUCAGAUGUUCAGCUAGCGUAAACUGUAAGUAGUGCAAAGAUUUUGGAAAAGCACCAAAUUCAGGCCCCGGAAAAACUCCUGCGCAGUGUUGAUGUGGGUUGACACUGAUCAUGUCUGCAGAAAGGAAAAAGACUCACUGAUUGUGUACAGUGUUACAUUUCCUGAGAUAUGUAGCAGAAAUAACAUAAUAUUAAUAAAUGUUAAUAAAUAACGUAACAAGUAAUAGGAGCUGAGUUAACCUUUGCAAGGCACGUGUUAGUUCCGACGUUAGUGUUUUUCUAAAGCCACCCCAGUGCGUGGUCUCUGCAUGUGUCUUUUUGAAGGUGUCAGCUUCAUGGCAGUUCUAAAGCACAGAUUGGAAGGUGCCAUUCAUACACAAAUAAGUGUAUUAUUUAUGAUCUGUAUCCACAAUGUUUUGCAAACAACCGUUACCCACUGUGAAAAUUGUCAACCAGGUUUUGAGCGGCGCAGAAUGUCAGGGGGCUUGUUACACUAUUUGAAUGCUUGAUGAGGUGGAGCCACUGAAUUUUGAGCACCAAUGUGCAAAGAUUUGUGAAUAAGACCAAAGCCUCCGAAUGGAAAGAAAUCUACAUAAAAUUUUGGAGCCACGUAACCUGAAUUUGUUCUUUUAUGGUUAACUGGAGAAGUAAAGAAUGACUUGGAGUUAAAUAGCUCAAAUGACAGACUUGUCAAUUGAUUUAUAAAUUACUGAUUUUCUAGGAAUACAGUGCUUUAUACUUUUCAGUCUUCUAGUCUUUUUACUCCACACACAAGAAAUCAAGAGUUGUUUUUUUUUCCCCCGGGUAUUUGUGUCUAUUUCUCUUCAGGUGGCUCCAUGGAUCUGUGAUUUGGGAUUUUUUUUCCUGCAGUCUUAAGUUUGUAGUCUCUUGGAUUAAACUCUACCAUUAUACAACAUUUCUUGCUUUUCUUGGAUUAAACUUUUAAAUGGUGUGUUAUUGCUUCAGACUGCCUGUUGUUAUUGCUUAUAAUGCACAGUAUCUGUUUUGAACAAACUCCACUUUUUGGUGGAGAAGUGGAUGUGGUGAUCAUAUAUGACACUUAGGCAAAAGGCAGAUGUGGAGACUUCGUUUUUAUCAGCAGAAUAGUUCUGUUCGACACGUCGCGUGUGGGAAGAGUUGAAAGUACUUUGCAGUGUCUUCAUCGCUCCCCUCCUGCCCCAUUAUCCAGAAGGGUUUUCUGACUUCGAGAAAUUGGGAAAUGUGCAUUAAACAUUGUGUAAAUAAAGUGUUUUCUGGUGUUUUGAUUGGUGUCUACAAGUUUAAUCACAGGAUUCUGUGAUUUGCAAACAUUCUGGAAGUAUGCGUUUAGCGGUAUAUACAUCUUCUAAUGUUAUAACUGUUGCUACUUUGUUAAAUGAGGUUUUAAGCAGCUGAUUUGUCAUAAAAAAGAACAGCUUUUGUUUGAAAGUUAAUAUUGCUGCCCGUUUCCCUCUAAAAGCCUGAGUAGCAUUGCAUUUGAUUCCAGUUAAGUAAAAAGAGAUUUCCAUCUUGUUUAGCAGCUUGGUUUAUUUCUUGACUUGUGGAUAUUUAUUUAAAAAAAAGACAAAGACAUUCCUCAUUUUGAUCGUGAGAAUUUCUGAAUGGAACUAUUUUUAACGGCUGCUGAUACCCAUCAGAAAAGAAUGGAUUGACAUCUCCAUGAUCUUCUGUCUUUGAAGUUUUUCCUACCUCUGGGAAAGUCUGAAAGCCUCUAGGAAGGCAAUAGCUGCUCAGAUUUAGGUAUUUGAGAAACACAGAUCUGAAUAUAGAGUUUUGAAUAGACUCUUCAUCUAUAUACAGCUUAGCCUUAUUGCUUCUCUGCUCAGUGUUGUGUACUUUGCUUCCAAUAAUGUCAAGUCGUUCAGCAACAGCAGACGUGGGAAGCUGGAUCCCGGUUUUCCUGGCUUCGUGUUGGCCAAGUAAGAGGCUGCAUGCCCUUCACUUUGCAGCUGCCUGGCUCCGUGUGGAGACGUCUCGGGCAUGGGAGGUUGUGGCUUGCUGGCUCGGGCGGUGGGUUUCCUAACAGCUUUUCUGUGCCCUCGGGGGAAGAGGCAAUGGGCUGGAGGGAAAUGUUCUGUGAGAUGCCUUUUCCAUCAUGCUGCACAUUGAGGUGGUGAAGAGGUAGUAAGUGUUGCAAUGAAGAAUUUAUCAGUACAUGUGAAAAUUCAAAACCAGCGGCCCAGACAUUAAAUGUGUGUGAGCCCAACUAGCUCCGUUAAGCUCAUAGAAGUGAGCUAACGUACACCACAAGGAUCUGGCCUAUUGGAUAUCAACACAGCACAACUAAAGAAACACUGCUAAAAUUAAUAUGCUAAAUUUAAAAUUUAUUAAGAGGGAAGGCCAUAAUAAAUGCAGAUAGAAAUGUCAGGAGCAAAAGCAGUUGCUGGUGUCAGUUUUGGUGAUGAGUGAAGGAACAAUUGCUAUUUACCGUUUAUAUACAUUAUCUGGAUCAAAUAACAAUCAAGGUAUUUUUGGGGGCUGAAAGCACAGUAGGUAUUAGAAGACAGCAUAUUUCAAGUCAGAAUAUGUUACCAGGAAGGGCAUGCACCUUUCAGGGUGGCUGAGUUCAAAGUGGUACCUACAAAUACACUGGAGAGGAGAGGAGUGUGGCUAGCAGCCUGAUGUUAAGGCCACAUUUGAGCUAUCCUGAUUCUUCUGAUUGGGAAUCCUAAUAACGCCUAAUUUCAGAGAGUUUAGGUUACAGCUAUAGGAGCAUGUUUAAUUAUACUAUGUUUAUGUCGGUGUGUACGUUUGUGCCGAUGCAGACCUGUCUCAACAUCUAAAUGUGCUAAUCUGUAACUAGUAAAUGUAGUACUCAGUUCAGUGUAUUUACCAGACUUCCACUAUUUGAAGAUACGACAUUACUGUAGGUGAUUGUCUGAAUAAAUAAAGUGCUCUGAA